UACGGAGGGGGCUAGCGUUGUUCGGAAUUACUGGGCGUAAAGCGCACGUAGGCGGCUUUGUAAGUUAGAGGUGAAAGCCCGGAGCUCAACUCCGGAAUUGCCUUUAAGACUGCAUCGCUCGAAUCAUGGAGAGGUGAGUGGAAUUCCGAGUGUAGAGGUGAAAUUCGUAGAUAUUCGGAAGAACACCAGUGGCGAAGGCGACUCACUGGACAUGUAUUGACGCUGAGGUGCGAAAGCGUGGGGAGCAAACAAGGAU
rnacentral:rRNA from 1 species